GCGGCCGCAAUAUUGCGGAUGCGGUAGGCACUGCAACCGCAUCAGACCGCAAUUGCGGUGUGAACUCAAAUCACGCGUGAUGCCGCAACGCAACCGCAACGCAACGGCGUUUUUCCGCAACAGUCCAAAUCAAGGAAAACAGAGAAUCUCAAUUUCAGAAAACAGGAAAAAAGCAAUAAAACAAAAAAAAAACCAAUUUUUUCAGAGAAUCAGAAUCUUGAAAAUUCAAAGUAACUUACUUUUUCUUUUUCCUUUAUGUCAAUUCCAUUCAUUUUAGAAUCAGGACACCAAAAACGCAGGCUGCAAAGAAACAGAAGAACAAGACAAAAAACGCAGGCUGCAGGAAACCGAAUCACAAAACUCCACACCGAAACCUCACCGUAACAUACAGUCCCCCGGAUUCCAAUCGGCCUGAUCUGCUCUCUCUCAAGGUAUGUUAUUGUUAACUACUCAUUCAUGUUUUGUUCUUUCCUUGUUUCUGGCUUUUUGGGUUUUGUUUGUAAGUUUGAUUUUAACUUUGGUUAAUUUUCCACCGUGUGUAUUUUGGGACUAUAGAGUUUUGUGUUUCUUUGGGUGUUUGUGAGUGGGUAAGAGUGAAGAGAAGAUCUGUGAGGUUGAAGAACAGAAAGAGAGAAGAAAGAUCUGUGAGGAGGUUGAAGAACAGAGAGAAUGAGAUCUGUUUUUUUUUUUACUGUAAUGAAUGAGAUCUUUUUUUGUUAAAGAGUGGUGGUGUUUAUACUUUAUUGUUUAAUUAUUAUAAUAAUUAUAAUUAUAACUAUUUUAUUUUAUUUUAGUGGGG
rnacentral:lncRNA from 1 species